UACAGAGGGGGCAAGCGUUAUUCGGAAUUAUUGGGCGUAAAGAGCUCGUAGGCGGCUUGUCACGUCGGGUGUGAAAGCCCGGGGCUUAACCCCGGGUCUGCAUUCGAUACGGGCAGGCUAGAGUGUGGUAGGGGAGAUCGGAAUUCCUGGUGUAGCGGUGAAAUGCGCAGAUAUCAGGAGGAACACCGGUGGCGAAGGCGGAUCUCUGGGCCAUUACUGACGCUGAGGAGCGAAAGCGUGGGGAGCGAACAGG
rnacentral:rRNA from 1 species